GGAUGGCUCAGUGGUUAAGAGCUCUUCAAGAGGUCCUGGGUUCAAAUCCCAGCAACCA
rnacentral:tRNA from 1 species